CUCCACCACCAAAUCCUUGUAGAGGAGUUUUUACUGCUUUGAGCUAUUUGGGAGAGAUCCCCAUUUUGGCGAAAGCCUCCUGUAAGAGCAUAUUUGCUGUACUCCCAUUAUCAACCAGUAUCCUCUUUACUUCGAAGUUAGCCACAACCACAGAGACGACUAAGGCAUCAUCAUGAGAAUAUGAUAUUCCUUCCAAAUCUCUUGCCCCAAAAGUGAUGUCUUUGACUUCAUCACGGGAUUCCUUUGGGGUAUGAGCAUGUUGGCGGGCAUACUGCUUUCGCCCACUAUUUGUGUCUCCUCCAGAUGCUAUGCCCCCGACGAUAAUAUUAAUUGUCCUGACAGUGGGUUAAGCACGGCUUCCGAUUCUAGGCUCUUUCCGAUUGUCACGAUCAUUCCUCGGGCGUUUAUCAUGACCAAUGUAAUUCCUUAAGAAUCCUCUUUUAAUGAGAGCUUCGAUUUCCCGCUACAAAGCUUGACAAUCCUCCAUGGUAUGCCCAUGAUCCCGAUGAAAUUCACAAUACUUG
rnacentral:lncRNA from 1 species